rnacentral:rRNA from 1 species
UACGUAGGGUGCAAGCGUUAAUCGGAAUUACUGGGCGUAAAGCGCACGUAGGCGGUUUUUUAAGUCAGAUGUGAAAGCCCCGGGCUCAACCUGGGAAUUGCAUUUGAAACUGGGAAACUAGAGUGUGUGAGAGGGGGGUAGAAUUCCAAGUGUAGCGGUGAAAUGCGUAGAGAUUUGGAGGAAUACCAGUGGCGAAGGCGGCCCCCUGGCACAACACUGACGCUCAUGCACGAAAGCGUGGGGAGCAAACAGG